CAUCAUGGGUGGUAACAGACCAUGAACAGUUCUGCGAAAAAUGUGAUGGGCAAUAAGUAAUAGCUAGAUAAUAUGUGAUCAGGAGACCUAUUUAAGGAAGACCAUACACACAGACAAAGUCAGUAGCUUGGUUUAUUCUCAACAGAACAAAUGAAAGCAACACAGAUGUCUUUGGACUAAUCUGGUCUCUGGAUUACCAGCUCGGAUGGAUAUAAUGAACACCACUAUGUAGUGUGGUACAGGGAUUAUUCAUCAUGAUAAUGUAACACAGCAUCAUGUGUUUGUAGCCCAUGGAAGGCACUUCGCAAAAUUUGUUUACUGGAAGCAGCAGCUGUGUGGAAGCUGGGCGGCUGUAUAAUGACCUGCUGUCAACUGAAGAUGAGCUCUUGUGUGACAAAACAAAGGCUUGGAUCUGAUCUGAUCUACUAUGCUCGGCUGUGGUACAAUCCAGGAAAAAGAGAAGGAGGCACUUUUAGGUACUAUUGCAGAUGUGGUUUGAUCAAAGGAGCAGGUCUGUCAGGCAGAAAUAAGGACAAUUAUAGGACAAAUAAAGCAUAUUUGUUUAAGCACAUGGUGCUGUGUCACUCUUACUGCUUUGCAAAACUCAUAAUAACCUUUGAAUGUUAAACCAUUUUACCAAGUUGAAAACACAAA